GCAGCACAACACGACAACAACAAGGUAGCAGCACAACACGACAACAACAAGGUAGCAGCACAACACGACAACAACAUGGUAGCAGCACAACAUGACGACAACAACAAGGUAGCAGGACAACACGACAACAACAAGGUAGAGGCACAACACGACAACAACAAGGUAGCAGGACAACACGACAACAACACAACAUGACAUCAACAUGGUAGCAGCACAACACUACAACAAAAAGGUAGCAACACAACACGACAACAACAAGGUAGCAGCACAACACGACAACAACAUGGUAGCAGCACAACACGACAACAACAUGGUAGCAGCACAACACGACAACAACAUGGUAGCAACACAUCACGACGUUGUAGCAGCACAACACGACAACAACAUGGUAGCAACACAUCACGACACAACGUUGUAGCAGCACAACACUACAACAACAUGGUAGCAGCACAACACGACAACAACAUGGUAGCAGCACAACACGACAACAACAUGGUAGCAGCACAACACGACAACAACAAGGUAGAAGCACAAACCAUGGUACAAACAUUAUCAGGCAG
ensembl:lncRNA